GGCCCGCUGGCCAAAUGGUAAGGCAUCUGAUUUCGGUCUACAUCUGCUACUCCUUGUAGAAGAUAAUCACUCAGAAGAUUGUGCGUUCGAGCCGCACGUGGGUCG